GACGAACGCUGGCGGCGUGCUUAACACAUGCAAGUCGAACGGUAAGGCCCUUCGGGGUACACGAGUGGCGAACGGGUGAGUAACACGUGGGUGAUCUGCCCUGCACUUCGGGAUAUGCCUGGGAAACUGGGUCUAAUACCGGAUAGGACCACUGCCUGCAUGGGUGGUGGGGGAAAGCUUUUGCGGUGUGGGAUGGGCCCGCGGCCUAUCAGCUUGUUGGUGGGGUGAUGGCCUACCAAGGCGACGACGGGUAGCCGGCCUGAGAGGGUGACCGGCCACACUGGGACUGAGAUACGGCCCAGACUCCUACGGGAGGCAGCAGUGGGGAAUAUUGCACAAUGGGCGCAAGCCUGAUGCAGCGACGCCGCGUGAGGGAUGACGACCUUCGGGUUGUAAACCUCUUUCAGCACCGUCGAAGCGCAAGUGACGGUAGGUGCAGAAGAAGGACCGGCCAACUACGUGCCAGCCGCCGCAGUAA
rnacentral:rRNA from 1 species